rnacentral:misc_RNA from 1 species
ACUGAAAAUAUCCGCAGAGUUGGUAAGUGUGAUUUUAUUUAGAAACAAACUUCUUACUGGAGUUGUGGCCCUGAAAUUUAAUUUUAUGUAAUAGAUGCUUCAUUGUCUCCAAAGUAAGGGGCAAACUUACACAUUGACAUUAAACAUGGUUUGUAUAUGUGCAUGCAAAAUGGUAGCUGUAUCUGGCAUUCUUAUGAAUGUGACUUACAAUGUACUGAGAAGAGACUGAUGAUUG